rnacentral:rRNA from 1 species
UAAUACAGAGGGUGCAAGCGUUAAUCGGAAUUACUGGGCGUAAAGCGCGCGUAGGUGGUUGAAUAAGUUGGAUGUGAAAUCCCCGGGCUUAACCUGGGUCGGUCAUUCAAAACUGUUCAACUAGAGUAGAGUAGAGGGUAGUGGAAUUUCUAGUGUAGCGGUGAAAUGCGUAGAUAUUAGAAGGAACACCAGUGGCGAAGGCGACUGCCUGGACUCAUACUGACACUGAGGUGCGAAAGCGUGGGUAGCGAACAGGAUUAGAUACCCUGGUAGUCCACGCCGUAAACGAUGUCAACUAGACGUUGGGCUCCUUAGAGGGCUUAGUGUCGAAGCUAACGCGAUAAGUUGACCGCCUGGGGAGUACGGUCGCAAGAUUA